rnacentral:rRNA from 1 species
GCUUCUCUUGAGAGCGGCGGACGGGUGAGUAAUGCCUAGGAAUCUGCCUGGUAGUGGGGGAUAACGUUCGGAAACGGACGCUAAUACCGCAUACGUCCUACGGGAGAAAGCAGGGGACCUUCGGGCCUUGCGCUAUCAGAUGAGCCUAGGUCGGAUUAGCUAGUUGGUGAGGUAAUGGCUCACCAAGGCGACGAUCCGUAACUGGUCUGAGAGGAUGAUCAGUCACACUGGAACUGAGACACGGUCCAGACUCCUACGGGAGGCAGCAGUGGGGAAUAUUGGACAAUGGGCGAAAGCCUGAUCCAGCCAUGCCGCGUGUGUGAAGAAGGUCUUCGGAUUGUAAAGCACUUUAAUUUGGGAGGAAAGGCAUUUUCCUAAACCCUGAUUGUUUUGACCUUUCCGACCAAAUAACCACCGGCUAACUCUGUGCCACCCCCCCCGGUAAUCCCAAGGGGGCAACCGUUAUAUCCGAAUUACUGGCCCUAAAGCGCCCACCGAGGUGUUUUUUUAUUGUUAAGAUGUAAAUCCC